UUCUAAUGCCGACAUACAGCUUUAUGGCUAAAUAACUUGAUGUUUUAAUGGUGAGACCUGACCAUCUAAUCAAUACUUGUUUUGGGUGUAACAUAAGCAAAAAUGACCCAUUCUGCAAUUGUCAUCCAUUCCGCUAAUUACCAGCUGUUCUGGUUCCAUUUCACUUGUAGUUCCAGUAUCAGUAGCUCCCAAUAUUUACAGUCAGUAUGCAUGUGGUAUGCUGGACAAUAGAGGUAACUUGGACACCAAGUACAACAGUUCCAAGGUGAGUUUUUCCUCGUCCACUUCUUCAUCUCGGUUUUUAAUCAAAUACUAUUGCAGAGCUGUGAGGCUGGUUAUUUAGUAUUUGUGUCUUAUAAGUAAGUGGUUAAGUUGCAAGUGGAUAUUUUGUUCUCUGCUUCUAAGAAAGAAAAAAAAACCCGCCCUCCCUCAUCACUUUUGUCUGAUGUCAAGGACGAUAAAUUAAUGUUUGUUUGUGUCUGCAACAAAUAUUUUCUGUAUUCUUUUCGUGGAGACAGAGUUAAAGUUGACUUCUCACAAGUUGUAUUUGUGAUGGCAUUUAGUCAACCUCGACUCAACUUUCAUAAUAUAAAUUAAUCUGAAGUGGCCCAGCGGCCGAGAUCAACUUCCUGAAGUUCCACUGAUUUAAACACAAAGUAGUGUUUCAAUUUUUAUCUCUCUGCCUGUUCAACCAGCAAGCUACAUUUCAGUUAAAAACAAACUUACUAAUAAAGUACGGCAUUCUGAAGACUUUCUUAAAGUUGUUAAUAUAUUUCGUGUUUAGGAAUCAGACAGGUAGUUUUAGGUGCUAGCUAGCCCGCUAGCUGCUACAACCGCCGUCACUUCGCUGCCUGAGGUUUUAUGAGAAUUUGAUCACAAGUUGACAGACAAACAUUCGGCUACAACUCACGAUAACACGGGAAUAGGAGUCCACACGAUGCAGUAAGGAUAACGACUCGUCACAGGGUCGAUUUUCUCCGACGCUAAGUGAUAAUUCUUCAUGCUAUCAUUCUCACCAACAUCCGCCAUC